rnacentral:rRNA from 1 species
UACGAAGGGGGCUAGCGUUGCUCGGAAUUACUGGGCGUAAAGGGUGCGUAGGCGGUCGGGUAAGUCUGAUGUGAAAUCUCACAGCUUAACUGUGAAACUGCAUUGGAUACUAUCCGGCUAGAGGAAUGGAGGGGAGACUGGAAUACUUGGUGUAGCAGUGAAAUGCGUAGAUAUCAAGUGGAACACCAGUGGCGAAGGCGAGUCUCUGGACAUUUCCUGACGCUGAGGCACGAAAGCCAGGGGAGCAAACGGG